UACGUAGGGUGCGAGCGUUAAUCGGAAUUACUGGGCGUAAAGCGUGCGCAGGCGGUUGUGCAAGACAGAUGUGAAAUCCCCGGGCUUAACCUGGGAAUUGCAUUUGUGACUGCACGGCUAGAGUGUGUCAGGAGGGGGGUAGAAUUCCACGUGUAGCAGUGAAAUGCGUAGAUAUGUGGAGGAAUACCGAUGGCGAAGGCAGCCCCCUGGGAUAACACUGACGCUCAUGCACGAAAGCGUGG
rnacentral:rRNA from 1 species